rfam:Lactobacillus silagei DNA, scaffold: sequence46, strain: IWT126.
GGUUAAGUUAUCAAGGGCGCAUGGUGAAUGCCUUGGCACUAGGAGCCGAUGAAGGACGGGACUAACACCGAUAUGCUUCGGGGAGCUGUACGUAAGCUUUGAUCCGGAGAUUUCCGAAUGGGGAAACCCAAUCAUCUUAGUCGAUGAUUAAUGCUUAGUGAAUACAUAGCUAAGUAUUGGCAGACGUGGGGAACUGAAACAUCUAAGUACCCACAGGAAGAGAAAGCAAUUGCGAUUCCCAUAGUAGCGGCGAGCGAAGUGGGA